rnacentral:rRNA from 1 species
UACGUAGGGCGCAAGCGUUGUCCGGAAUUAUUGGGCGUAAAGAGCUCGUAGGCGGCUUGUCACGUCGGGUGUGAAAGCCCGGGGCUUAACCCCGGGUCUGCAUUCGAUACGGGCUAGCUAGAGUGUGGUAGGGGAGAUCGGAAUUCCUGGUGUAGCGGUGAAAUGCGCAGAUAUCAGGAGGAACACCGGUGGCGAAGGCGGAUCUCUGGGCCUGUACUGACGCUGAGGAGCGAAAGCGUGGGGAGCGAACAGG